AGUGGGACAGUAUUCAGGACCUUCUGGGGCACCCUGUAGAGAAGCCAGUGGUACUUCACAGGUCUUCAUCUCCAAACAACACUAACCCAUUUGGGUCAACCUUUUGCUUUGGACUGCAACGAAUGAUCUUUGAGGUGAUGCAGAAUAAUCACAUAGCUUCUGUUACCCUGUACGGCCCGACGCGGCCCAGCAGCCAGUUGAGAACAUCGGACCUUCCCCAGUGAGCAUCCCCUGCAAAGUCAGCUAAUCUCAAUGCUACAAAAUUAGUACAGCGUGCCUUGAUUUGCUGCCACUUAUAAUAUGGAAAGCACGUUAUGAUUUUUAUUUUUUCGUUUUCAAUAAGCCUUUCCACCCAGGAGCGGUGUGGAGGGGCAAUUCUCUCAACCCUUCAUCAUGGGGCAUGGGACUGUUGAUGGAGGAAAGCAGCUUAGGUGCCUGUGCCGUCGUUUAUUCCUCUCCGUUGCCCUCAUCCUAUGCAGCACAGACCUGAAGAGACUGUCCCCCCUUCCCAGCUGGCAGGAGGGGGAAAUGGAAGAGGGGCACGUAAUGACUGCAAGAGUUAGAAGCACAAACUUUCUGAGCCUUGGAGCAUCUGGAAGCAGGUAUUGAUUUUAGUCUGUUUGUGUUACUGUAUUGAUGUGGUGGUCACAUUUUAAGAAAAACGUGUGUGUGUAUAUAUAUAGAUAUAAACACAUCGGUAUUUCUGUGGCUUAGGACAUUGUACCAAGUGUGACAAGGAUGUAUAUAUGUCCAUGAUUUCAGGCACCACAUCUUUGUGUAACUUUAAACCAAGCAAGUAGCAUGUGCAUAAUACUUGGUUGUAACAUUUGCACUACAUACACUUUAAUUACUUGAGAAACGUUUUAUCUUCACUGAGGAGCAUCUGUGUACUGGGUGUGAGUGGGGUGUGAUGGUUAUUUAAUGUACGCCGCGCAUAAAGCUUAUUUAUACAGUGGAUCAAAUUUAUCCACCUUCCUGCACUAAUAUGUACUUGAUAUGCUGAAACAAUUGUUUUCUGCCAUGGCUGGUUUACUAAUUUGUUUUCAUAUGCAAUUUCAAAAAAAAAAAAAAAAGGAAAAAAAUUCUGGAAGAGGUUGUUUCUAUGGUUGAAUUGCGUUUUAGUGAAAAGGUUUGAUACGAUUUUUUUCAUACUGCGGGGAAAAAAUUUUACGAAGAAAUAGCAUUGCCUCAUUUUGCCUCUGCUCCAAAAUCCUUUGAUUCCUCCUCCGUUUCCUUCGAGAAAGAAAAGCUGUACAUAACAAUGGUAUCUCAGAACGAACUUCCCGAGCUCUGCCAUCACCGAGAAAACCUUUUUCUGUAACUUCUGAUGUGUGAUUUUAAGUUAUGCCAAAGGUUUAGCCAAAGACAUCCUUCUUGGAGGUUCACCGUUUCUGUACAUACACGCUACCUGCACACCCCACCCCAGCAGACAGGUUAUAGGCUUCUUUCUGGUUGGGAGAUGCUGCUCGCGACAUUUUUAUCCCGGGAGGAUACUUUAGGUUUCUAGUUCUCUUACCAGUCUUAUUUGGGGGAAAUAGGUGGUCUGUCUUUGAAAUAUCGAACCCUUUUUAAAAACGGACAAGAGAAAUGUAUAAUUUUAUCCCAUUUUUAAUAUUUUGGUGUAGCAACUUGUGAUACAUAGAUGACAAUUUUGUGAGUUUUACUAUGUGUGUACAGAUUUUGUAAAUACGACAUUUUUGUAAUUUUAACUCCAUGUACAGUGUAAUCCUGUAUAGUUUAUCAAUGAGUGAGAGAUAGGAAAUCGAAUGUUAACCGAAGUUUGGGAUCCUGGACCAGUAGCAGGGAUAAAUGUGGUGUGCGUGUGUGAGACGUUCUUUGCCAUUCAGUCUUCCUGUGUACUGUGAUACUCUCAGCUGUUUUGCUAAAACAAACAAAAAAGCCCCACGGAGAAUCUAAUGGAUAAGGAAAAAGUUACUGUUUACCUUUAUCCCUAGGUGUCACUCCUGUUGAACCCCUGUUCAAUCUGUGCUGUCUCCUGUGAUCAUUGCUUGCUAAGAGAAUCCUAUGCCUCAACCUUCCUUUUGUUUCCUCUCUAGUUUGAAUUUCAUUUUACAUAGCCCUUCUGUAAAUUAAGUGGAGUAAUAAUGAGCAUGUACACUGAAAGAAAAAUAAAAUGAGACUCUCAGUUACUGUUUUUGUGUUAAAUACAGUUGCUGGGUGUUUUU